rnacentral:misc_RNA from 1 species
CUCAGCUGCCGGCAUUGGCUAGAUUGACCGUCUUUUUUGCACAGCCACCCGUUGCAGCGGCGCGACACGGCUGGACCAGUUUUGUGUGCCCUUUGGCUGCUUAGCCCGCUGCGAUAGGCGUGCCGGCCGGCAGCUGUCGUCUCCCCUGUCACCGGAGUGCUCGCUCUCCCCGCACCACAUGCAUUGCGAGCCGCCAGAGCUCUACACGAUCAUCUUAGUCUUUUGGCACACUUGCUGCGCCCUUUCGGCGCACGCUGCAUCUUGCCCAUCCGAGCCUGGGCAUCUCUGUCCGCGAGCCACUGUUGCCCUCUGACAAGAGAAGGCGGGCAUGCUUGCCCUGAUUUGCCUUCUCACGCGCCGCCAGCGUUUUGUGCUCGUCUCUUUGCCCCGUCUGCUGUGCCUGGGCUCCGUUGUUGCCACACGGGACAGAGGUAGCGAGGCGCACCGAGCAGAAACAUCCCUACGGCGCGUAGGUACCACUUUGCGUCGCGGGGCUCGGUGUAAGCGGCGCGGUCGCGCACGCCGUGUGUGUGACUGCCCACCUGUGCGUAUGCUGCGGGUGGCGGCGCCCAUUUCGCUUCUGCCCACUUUCCCUGCCUCGUUUCGUCCUGUGCUCUCUUACGCCGGCAAAG